rnacentral:tRNA from 1 species
GAGAGUAUAGCUUAGCGGUUGAGUACAUGCCUAGCACGCAUAAGGUCCUAGGUUUAAUCCCCAGUACCUCCA